rnacentral:tRNA from 1 species
GGCGCUGUGGCUUAGUUGGUUAAAGCGCCUGUCUAGUAAACAGAAGAUCCUGGGUCCAAAUCCCAGCAGUGCCU